rfam:Myotis brandtii contig154167, whole genome shotgun sequence.
GCCCUAGUGGCUCAGUGGAUAGAGCAUCGGCCUGCGGACCAAAGGUCCCGGGUUUGAUUCCAGUCAAGGGCA